rnacentral:misc_RNA from 1 species
AAAAUGCGAUAAGUAAUGUGAAUUGCAGAAUUCAGUGAAUCAUCGAAUCUUUGAACGCACAUUGCGCCCGCCAGUAUUCUGGCGGGCAUGCCUGUUCGAGCGUCAUUUCAACCCUCAAGCCCCCUGGUUUGGUGUUGGGGAUCGGGCUGCGGUUCUACCGCGUCCCGGCCCCGAAAUCUAGUGGCGGUCUCGCUGCAGCCUCCAUUGCGUAGUAGCUAACACCUCGCAACUGGAACGCGGCGCGGCCAAGCCGUUAAACCCCCAACUUCUGAAUGUUGACCUCGGAUCAGGUAGGAAUACCCGCUGAACUUAAGC